UGUUAAAAACAUUAUCCAUUCCUACUAUUAAAAAAUAAACGUAACUAACAAAAUAACCAUACGAUUACAUGUGGCAUGCCAUGUAUACCUCAUUUUGACAUACAAGAACCAAUUUUUAUCAAAAAAACCAAUUUUUAACAAUAGAAAUGGAUGGGUUUUUUAAUA
rfam:Gossypium raimondii Chr10_contig_297, whole genome shotgun sequence.